GUCUAUGGCCAUGCCACCCUAAACAAGCCCAAUCCCAUCUGAUCUCAGAAGCUAAGCAGGGUCGGCCUGGUUAGUACUUGAAUAGGAGACCACCUAGGAAGACUAGGUGCUGCAGGUG
rnacentral:rRNA from 1 species